rnacentral:lncRNA from 1 species
ACCUAGGACCUGCAUGAUCCUGAACAUAUCUCUUCACUUUAUUUGCCCCAAUUUCCUCAUCUGUAAAUUUGCUGGAGAAGGACAGGACUAACCAUUCCACUGUCUCUGUCAAGAGAACUCCAAACUGGGUGACAGUUACACAGGACUGAAACAAGACUGAUAAACAACAGUGUCUUCUAGACACUGUGUUAGAUGCUGGGCGUAGCACACACAGAAAGCAAAACUGAGAACUCAACAAUGAUCACUUUAAUUUUCUUAGUUUUGCUGUGAGAACAUUAAACUCUCAACAGUAUCCAUGUUUCUAACAGAAACUAUGGUAUGAUUUGCUAAACUUACCAUUCUAAACUUGCUGUUUUGUUCCUCAGCUUUGAUGUGAAGAGAAAGCAAUAGUCCAUAUUCAGAAACCCAAGUGGAACCCACUGGAGAAUAAUCUGCCCUAAAAGUAAUUGGUGAUGGACCCUAAAGCAUCCUGUGGAUUUAUUGAACUGCCACUAGAAAAAACAACAUUGAUACCCACAAUAGUUCCCACAAAGUCCCCCUAAGGGAGAUUAAAAGUUAACUGUAUUACAGAGAAUCAGGUCAAAAUGUGGAAGAUAUAGCUACCCAGCCAUUGUUAUAACAAAAAACUGGGAAUUUCUGGCAGCUUGAAGCUCUGUCAGUCCAUAUAGUUACAGCUGACAACAAUAUUUGCAUUUCCCAUUUCUAGGGGAUGCCAGGAAUUCCCAACUAUUAACUCCCUGUCUACUCUCUUCCAUGUACUCUAGUGGCCAGGACUUUUCCUGAAGCCUAACCAGGAUGAUGAGAAUACUGGAAAACAUGCCAUAGAACCUUCCCUGGAAGGAAGAUCCCUUCUCUGAAAAGGUGUUACAUGCUUUCUGGGCAAACAUUUGAAGGACUAUUGUGUGCAGGAAGGAUCAGAUGUAUUCUACUCCACUCCAUGGUGUGCUGCCUAGAGCCCAGAGCCUCGACUCAGAAUCACUCAUCUUCCCUCUGAUUUGAAGAACAAACAACAGUCCAUAUUCAAAAACCCAAGUGGAACC